AAACGAUCCUCACUUUUAGAAUUCCAAAGGUUUUAUCAAACCUUAAGAAAAAUACAAGAAAAGACUGAAGUGAAAGAGGAGGGAAAGAAAAGAGAGGAGGGAAAGAAAAGAGAGGAGGGAAAGAAAAGAGAGGAGGGAAAGAAAAGAGAGGAGGGAAAGAAAAGAGAGGAGGGAAAGAAAAGAGAGGAGGGAAAGAAAAGAGAGGAGGGAAAGAAAAGAGAGGAGGGAAAGAAAAGAGAGGAGGGAAAGAAAAGAGAGGAGGGAAAGAAAAGAGAGGAGGGAAAGAAAAGAGAGGAGGGAAAGAAAAGAGAGGAGGGAAAGAAAAGAGAGGAGGGAAAGAAAAGAGAGGAGGGAAAGAAAAGAGAGGAGGGAAAGAAAAGAGAGGAGGGAAAGAAAAGAGAGGAGGGAAAGAAAAGAGAGGAGGGAAAGAAAAGAGAGGAGGGAAAGAAAAGAGAGGAGGGAAAGAAAAGAGAGGAGGGAAAGAAAAGAGAGGAGGGAAAGAAAAGAGAGGAGGGAAAGAAAAGAGAGGAGGGAAAGAAAAGAGAGGAGGGAAAGAAAAGAGAGGAGGGAAAGAAAAGAGAGGAGGGAAAGAAAAGAGAGGAGGGAAAGAAAAGAGAGGAGGGAAAGAAAAGAGAGGAGGGAAAGAAAAGAGAGGAGGGAAAGAAAAGAGAGGAGGGAAAGAAAAGAGAGGAGGGAAAGAAAAGAGAGGAGGGAAAGAAAAGAGAGGAGGGAAAGAAAAGAGAGGAGGGAAAGAAAAGAGAGGAGGGAAAGAAAAGAGAGGAGGGAAAGAAAAGAGAGGAGGGAAAGAAAAGAGAGGAGGGAAAGAAAAGAGAGGAGUCAGAGGAGUUGAGUUCUGUGGGCAAGAAGAGGAUGCUGCUCACUCAAGUGUGGCAGGGUGUUAUUCCCAUUUCCACAUGCAUCCUUCAUAAUGUGCUCCAAGUACAGUUGUACAAACUGCUCAAUAUUUCUGAAUUAAGCAAACAAGCCUCUUGUGGCCAGGGAUGUUUGUUAUUCUAAGUAUUUCAGGUUGUUAGGGUAAUUUAUGUGGCCAGGGAUGUUUGUCAUUCUAAGUAUUUCAGGUUGUUAGGGUAAUUUUAUUCAGGUUAGUGUCCACUGCUUGAGACCCUUAAUUUCUUUCAUUGAUGAGCCAGCACUUUUGUGCCAGCCAAGGAGUUCCCCCCAUCAGUGGCUGCCAGGAGCCCCCUGCACUGCAGAAACCAACUCCUUUAACUCCUCUGCUCUGCAGCUCUCGUGGUAAUAAACAUUUAUCACUAAAAAGGUGACUGGGGAAAUCACACCUUAUUAGCAGAGCAAGC
rnacentral:lncRNA from 1 species